rnacentral:pre_miRNA from 1 species
UAAAAGGCUGUUAAAUGAUGAUCCUAUAUUUUUUAACGUCAACAUCAUUUAGAAACCUUUUAGA